rnacentral:SRP_RNA from 1 species
UGGUUCUCCCGCAACACUAACUAGUGAAUUGGGUCAGGCCUGGAAGGGAGCAGCCCGCGCUAAUGACGUGUGUGCCGGGAUG